GGGAUUGUGGCUCAGUGGUAGAGCGCUUGCCUAACGUGUGAGGCACUGGGUUCGAUCCCCUAUACCA
rnacentral:tRNA from 1 species